GUUAUUACCAACAAAAUAAAAACACAAACCAUAUAGAUUAUUAUGUAUACCGAGUGAGGUGCAUGCUCUGCCAAAUCUUCAUAACUUGAGAAACACUUACUUUCUGCCCCAGUUGAAGCAGCAGCCGCAGCUCGAGGAUGUGAAUUUCUUGUCUGGCUUGCGAUCAUAUAGAUAUUUGGAGUUCGAUGCAAAGAUAGGAACUUUGGCGGAG
rnacentral:misc_RNA from 1 species